GGUUGACCUCGGAUGCAGGUAGGGAUACCCGCUGAACUUAA
rnacentral:rRNA from 1 species